ACUACGGGUGGCAGCAGUGAGGAAUAUUGGUCAAUGGGCGGAAGCCUGAACCAGCCAAGUAGCGUGCAGGAUGACGGCCCUACGGGUUGUAAACUGCUUUUAUACGGGAAUAACGCGCCUUACGUGUAGGGCUUUGCAUGUACCGUAUGAAUAAGGACCGGCUAAUUCCGUGCCAGCAGCCGCGGUAAUACGGAAGGUCCGGGCGUUAUCCGGAUUUAUUGGGUUUAAAGGGAGCGUAGGCCGCAUGUCAAGCGUGCUGUGAAAUGUCCGGGCUCAACCCGGGCCUGGCAGCGCGAACUGGCGUGCUUGAGUCCGCGGAAGGCAGGCGGAAUUCGUCGUGUAGCGGUGAAAUGCUUAGAUAUGACGAAGAACCCCGAUUGCGAAGGCAGCUUGCUGCAGCGGAACUGACGCUGAUGCUCGAAAGCGCGGGUAUCGAACAGGAUGAGAUACCCUGGUAGUC
rnacentral:rRNA from 1 species